CAUGGCCGCGCUUACUCGUAAUCCGCAGUUCCAGAAGCUGCAGCAGUGGCACCACGAGCACGGCUCCGAGCUCAGCCUGCGCCACCUCUUCGACUCGGACAAGGAGCGCUUCAACCGCUUCAGCUUGACGCUCAACACCAACCAUGGACAGAUUCUACUGGAUUACUCCAAGAACCUGGUGACAGAGGAAGUGAUGCGGAUGCUGGUGGACCUGGCCAAGUCCAGGGGUGUGGAGGCCGCCCGGGAACACAUGUUCAAUGGAGAGAAGAUCAACUUCACUGAGGACCGAGCUGUGCUGCACGUGGCCCUACGGAACCGGUCAAAUAUUCCCAUUGUGGUGGACACCAAGGAUGUGAUGCCCGAGGUCAACAGGGUGCUUGACAAGAUGAAGUCUUUCUGCCAGCGUGUCCGAAGUGGUGAGUGGAAGGGGUACACAGGCAAGCCCAUUACAGAUGUGAUCAACAUAGGCAUCGGGGGCUCCGACCUGGGACCCCUCAUGGUGACUGAAGCCCUCAAGUCAUACUCUGCAGGUGGUCCCCGAGUCUGGUUUGUCUCCAACAUUGAUGGGACCCACAUUGCUAAAACCCUGGCCUCACUGAGCCCUGAGUCUUCACUGUUCAUCAUUGCCUCCAAGACUUUUACGACCCAGGAGACCAUCACUAAUGCAGAGACGGCAAAGGAGUGGUUCCUCAUGUCAGCAAAGGAUCCUUCUGCAGUCGCGAAGCACUUUGUUGCCCUGUCUACCAACACGACCAAAGUGAAGGAGUUUGGAAUUGACCCUCAAAAUAUGUUUGAGUUCUGGGAUUGGGUAGGAGGACGGUACUCUCUGUGGUCAGCUAUUGGACUCUCCAUUGCCCUGCACAUAGGCUUUGACAACUUUGAGCAGCUGCUGUCUGGGGCACACUGGAUGGACCAGCACUUCCGCACUGCGCCCCUGGAGAAGAAUGCCCCUGUCUUGCUGGCUCUGCUGGGAAUCUGGUACAUCAACUGCUAUGGCUGUGAGACUCAGGCUAUGCUGCCCUAUGAUCAGUACCUCCACCGCUUUGCUGCCUACUUCCAGCAGGGAGACAUGGAAUCAAAUGGGAAGUACAUUACCAAGUCCGGCGUCCGUGUGGACCACCAGACGGGCCCCAUCUUGUGGGGGGAGCCAGGGACCAAUGGCCAGCAUGCCUUCUACCAGCUUAUCCACCAAGGCACCAGGAUGAUACCUUGUGACUUCCUUAUCCCAGUCCAGACCCAGCACCCUAUACGGAAUGGGUUGCAUCACAAGAUCCUUCUGGCCAACUUCUUAGCCCAGACUGAGGCCCUGAUGAAGGGGAAGACAAAAGAGGAGGCCCGGAAAGAGCUCCAGGCGACAGGAAAGAGUCCAGAGGAAUUAGAAAAGCUGCUGCCACACAAGGUCUUUGAAGGAAAUCGCCCAACCAAUUCCAUUGUAUUCACCAAGCUUACGCCAUUUAUUCUUGGAGCCUUGAUUGCCAUGUAUGAGCAUAAGAUCUUCAUUCAGGGAGUCAUCUGGGACAUUAACAGCUUCGACCAGUGGGGAGUGGAGCUAGGCAAGCAGCUGGCUAAGAAAAUUGAACCUGAACUUGAGGGCACCAACCCAGUGACCUCUCAUGAUUCUUCCACCAAUGGGCUGAUCAACUUCAUCAAGCAACAACAGAAAGCGUGAACCCAGAAGCUAAUAAAAGGACACACCACACCCCUGCCCGCUGGGCUGCAGUUCUUUGUGGGGAUGUCUCCCGUGGUAGAAGAGCAUGUGUGCAAAAGCACGGGGGAGGAGCUUUACAAGCUUUUCCUGACCAAUACCAAGGAACUGUACAUGAAAAUGGACAGCAUUCAGGCGGACAUCUUGGCAGCCAACAAAGUCAAUGAGAAUCUCUAG